GAUCCUGGCUCAGGAUGAACGCUGGCGGCGUGCUUAACACAUGCAAGUCGAACGAAGCGCUUAAGAUUGAUUCUUCGGAUGAAGUCUUUUGUGACUGAGUGGCGGACGGGUGAGUAACGCGUGGGUAACCUGCCUCACACAGGGGGAUAACAGUUAGAAAUGACUGCUAAUACCGCAUAACCCGAUAGGAUCGCAUGAUCCAGACGGAAAAGAUUUAUCUGUGUGAGAUGGACCCG
rnacentral:rRNA from 1 species